GGAAGGAGAUGGAAGAUUGUCCAUACUCUUCAGCUGGGAACCUUUACAUGUGCAAUAUUUAUAUUUAUUAUACUUAUUAUACAGUUACCUACGAGGUGAGAAAACUAACCAAAACAAAAAGUAGUGUGUUGUGACUGUACUGACAUAAGAAGUUCAAUUCACAACAAACACCUGUUUGUCCCACUUAGAAACAUCCUAACAUUUAGGGUCUUUCAAGAUGAGCCCAGUACCAGCUCUUCCCUUCCUAUUUCCAUCUCCCCAUUCUCCCAUUUCUUA
rnacentral:lncRNA from 1 species